UUAAGUUCAGCGGGUAGUCCCAUCUGAUUUGAGGUCACAUUAGUCAAUAGUAGCCCUGUAGCGGACUAGUCUCGCAAUUGAGACAGUUAGAAGCAGGCCCAUUCCAAAGUUCAAAUAUGCGCAAUGACUAAACCAACGGCGUAGACAAUUAUCUCACCAGGAGGUCUUCAAGCAUCAAAGCACUUGAAACCAUGUACUAG
rnacentral:misc_RNA from 1 species